CAGCAUCUUUUUCUCUGGAGAUUGCUCCUUUGUGAAGUUUACUGCAAGCCUUCUACACUGUUUCAAGACAACAGAAUUGAUGGAAAGGAAAACCGACAUCCAAUUUGAGGAAGAACAAGAUUCAGCUGUAAAUGUUCAGCAGAAAAGCAUGAUGGCUCCCUGCUUGCAUAGAGCAAGGAAUGUUUAAAAAAAUAAAUAAAUAAAUAUCAAUUUAAACACAAAGAAGAGUAAAGAGCAGAGUAACCAAACAGGGUAAG